UACGGAGGGUGCGAGCGUUGUUCGGAAUUAUUGGGCGUAAAGCGCGUGUAGGCGGUUUAUUAAGUCUGAUGUGAAAGCCCCGGGCUCAACCUGGGAAGUGCAUUGGAUACUGGUAGACUUGAAUACGGGAGAGGGUAGUGGAAUUCCGAGUGUAGGAGUGAAAUCCGUAGAUAUUCGGAGGAACACCGGUGGCGAAGGCGGCUGCCUGGACCGAUAUUGACGCUGAGACGCGAAAGCGUGGGUAG
rnacentral:rRNA from 1 species